rnacentral:rRNA from 1 species
ACGAAGGCUUCGGCCUUAGUGGCGCACGGGUGCGUAACGCGUGGGAAUCUGCCCUCAGGUUCGGAAUAACAGCGAGAAAUUGCUGCUAAUACCGGAUGAUAUCGCGAGAUCAAAGAUUUAUCGCCUGAGGAUGAGCCCGCGUAGGAUUAGCUAGUUGGUGUGGUAAAGGCGCACCAAGGCGACGAUCCUUAUCUGGUCCUGAGAGGAUGAUCAGCCACACUGGGACUGAGACACGGCCCAGACUCCUACGGGAGGCAGCAGUGGGGAAUAUUGGACAAUGGGCGAAAGCCUGAUCCACCAAUGCCGCGUGAGUGAUGAAGGCCUUAGGGUUGUAAAGCUCUUUUACCCGGGAUGAUAAUGACAGUACCGGGAGAAUAAGCUCCGGCUAACUCCGUGC